UACAGAGGGGGCAAGCGUUAUUCGGAAUUAUUGGGCGUAAAGGGCGCGUAGGCGGCUUGGCAAGUGGAUGGUGAAAUCCCUCGGCUUAACCGAGGAACUGCCGUCCAAACUGCUUAGCUUGAGACCGGGAGAGGUGAGUGGAAUUCCCAGUGUAGCGGUGAAAUGCGUAGAUAUUGGGAGGAACACCUGUGGCGAAAGCGGCGCACUGGACCACCACUGACGCUGAGGCGCGAAAGCUAGGGGAGCAAACAGG
rnacentral:rRNA from 1 species